AACGAACGCUGGCGGCAGGCCUAACACAUGCAAGUCGAACGAGAAGCCACCUUCGGGUGGUGGACAGUGGCAGACGGGUGAGUAACGCGUGGGAACGUGCCUUUCGGUUCGGAAUAACCCAGGGAAACUUGGGCUAAUACCGGAUACGCCCUUCGGGGGAAAGAUUCAUUGCCGAAAGAUCGGCCCGCGUCGGAUUAGCUAGUUGGUGGGGUAAUGGCCCACCAAGGCGACGAUCCGUAGCUGGCCUGAGAGGAUGACCAGCCACACUGGGACUGAGACACGGCCCAGACUCCUACGGGAGGCAGCAGUGGGGAAUAUUGGACAAUGGGCGAAAGCCUGAUCCAGCCAUGCCGCGUGGGUGAAGAAGGCCUUAGGGUUGUAAACCCCUUUCAGCGGGGAAGAUAAUGACGGUACCCGCAGAAGAAGUCCCGGCUAACUCCGUGCCAGCCGCCGCAGUAACAC
rnacentral:rRNA from 1 species